rnacentral:rRNA from 1 species
AUUGAACGCUGGCGGCGUGCUUAACACAUGCAAGUCGAGCGGUAACAGGUGUAGCAAUACAUGCUGACGAGCGGCGAACGGGUGAGUAAUGCUUCGGAAUCUUCCUGGUAGUGGGGAAUAACCUGGGGAAACUCAGGCUAAUACCGCAUACGAACUACGGUUGAAAGCCGGGGAUCGCAAGACCUUGCGCUAUGAGAUGAGCCGGAGUCGGAUUAGCAAGUUGGUGGGGUAAUGGCCUACCAAGGCGACGAUCCGUAGCUGGGCUGAGAGGACGACCAGCCAAAGUGGGACUGAGACACGGCCCAGACUCCUACGGGAGGCAGCAGUGGGGAAUAUUGGACAAUGGGGGCAACCCUGAUCCAGCGACGCCGCGUGUGUGAAGAAGGCCUGCGGGUUGUAAAGCACUUUUAGUGGGGAUGAAAAGCCAAGGGCUAAUACCCUUUGGUCUUGACCUAACCCAAAGAAAAAGCACCGGCUAACUCUGUGCCAGCAGCCGCCGUAAUAC